GGGGACGCAAUAGGUUUCGACGGAGAAUUGUUCUUUAAAACCGCAGGUGCCCGAUGACUCUUUGGGCUAAAACAGAGUCAAAAUACAAACGUCAGCGAUAAAAAUGCUGGCUUUGCUUAUGCUUACGCUUAAAAACGUUUUGGUAUAAGCAACGUCCAGAAUAUCCUCUUCUGGCAGGGUAUCUGGGUGUGAACAAAGCCAGGAUGCGAAAAUCAGGGGUGGUUUUCCUGUUUUUCAAAGAAAAACUAAACCUUUGCUUUUGGUUUCCUGUUAGUCGGAACAACCUAAAGUGAAAUUCAAAGAUUAACUAAACCUGUAGAAGUUUUAGGGGAUAUUUUUCGGAAGAGGGAUCAUUCCCCUCCGUCUCCACCC
rnacentral:tmRNA from 1 species